rnacentral:rRNA from 1 species
CAGUCGUACCUGCGGAUAAUCAGCCUUUCGGGUGCGAUUCUGUGGGGCGUGAGGAGCUUAACCGCCUUCAUGUUUUGCAUAUUCGUGCACAUUUGGUGUACUUGUCCGUGUGUAAGUUAACAUCAAUUUUGGUGGUCAUAAAAUAGCUGGAGGAAUGUAGCUUCGAUCUUGUAUUGAAGUGUUAUAGCCUUCGGUAGAUGUGAUGAUCGGGAUUGAGGAUUGCAACGGAUACCCUUCGGGGCUACCUGUCUGGUCUCUGAUUGUUGCUCUGGUGCUGAAAGCUUGCUUAUGGCUAUCAGAAUCGAUGGUCAAUAGGUUAGAAUGGGUUAAAUUCGUUAA